AUGAGGUCUGAUGUGAUGGAAAGAAGCAGAGCAGGGCUUGCUUGGAUUUUGAGUGGAGUCUUGGAGCAGGAAGAGUAUUUCUUCACAAGGAGCAGCUCACCUUUCUUUUCCAACCUCAGAGCUCAGUGUGGCCACAGUUUGUUCCCUGGCCACUGGCUCUGGGUUCUCCUUUCCUUUUCUCUCUCUUCAGUGCCUGGUGAAUCUAAAGUUUUAGGAAUGAAGAAGGAGAGGAGGUCAGAGAAGGUGUGUGGCUUGCUGGAUGGUGAACAAGUGAUCAGCAGUGAAUCCAGCGAGGAGGAAGAGCUCCCUAAGCUCUGAGCUCAGCACAGGGACGGGAACAUGGGCCAGAUGAGGAAGGCGAGGCUGGUGACUUGGGGCUGCAGACCAUCAGACAUCUGAAUUCGGAGCUCCUGCUUCCUGAUGCACUGUACUUGAGCACGCUCUACAGCCUGUGGUCCUGUCCGCCCUGGAAACACAUUCUCUGCAUUUAUCUCAUGUGCCAUUUUGGGAAAUGUGAGAGACAAGGCCCUAUUCAUUGAGCAUGUGUGCUCAUAUAUAAAUGUCAGAGUAGAAACAAACCAGCGUAUCUCUGUUUGUUUUUUCUUUUAUGCCAUCAUGCCUGUUGUGGUGUAACAAAAAAUAGGUACUUGGUCCUUGUCCCCCGUUCCUGGCACAGAGCUCCCCAAACCCUUGGAAUUUCCUGAGUGAUAAGAGUGUCUUUAUGCUAAUUAGAAGGUUAGAACUUUCAGCUCCACCCCUUGACCUCUGGGGAGAAAAGAGGUGGGCCAUUAAGUUCAAUCACCAAUGGCCAAUGAUUUAACCAAUCAUGCUUACAUAAUGAAACCUUGAUUAAAAAAAAAACCCUUGAACAGUGGGGUCAGGAGCCUCCAACUUGGUAAAUACACUGAUGCGCUGGGAGGGUUGGUUGCAUGCUGGAGAGGGCAUGGAAGCUCUGCACCCCCACCCCCACCCCCGCUCCAUCCCCAUACUCUGCCCUAUGCAUCUCUUCCAUUUGGUUGUUCUUGAGUUGUAUUCUUUAUAAUAAAACUGUAAUCAUAAGC
rnacentral:lncRNA from 1 species